CUCUUGUAGCACUAAAGUGCUUAUAGUGCAGGUAGUGUUCACUAAUCUACUGCAUUAUGAGCACUUAAAGUACUGCUAGCU
rnacentral:pre_miRNA from 17 species